rnacentral:rRNA from 6 species
UGACCUCGGAUCAGGUAGGAAUACCCGCUGAACUUAAGCAUAUCAAA